GAUGAACGCUGGCGGCGUGCCUAAUACAUGCAAGUCGAGCGAACAGACGAGGAGCUUGCUCCUCUGACGUUAGCGGCGGACGGGUGAGUAACACGUGGAUAACCUACCUAUAAGACUGGGAUAACUUCGGGAAACCGGAGCUAAUACCGGAUAAUAUAUUGAACCGCAUGGUUCAAUAGUGAAAGACGGUUUUGCUGUCACUUAUAGAUGGAUCCGCGUCGCAUUAGCUAGUUGGUAAGGUAACGGCUUACCAAGGCGACGAUGCGUAGCCGACCUGAGAGGGUGAUCGGCCACACUGGAACUGAGACACGGUCCAGACUCCUACGGGAGGCAGCAGUAGGGAAUCUUCCGCAAUGGGCGAAAGCCUGACGGAGCAACGCCGCGUGAGUGAUGAAGGUCUUCGGAUCGUAAAACUCUUUUAUUAGGGAAGAACAAAUGUGUAAUUAACUAUGCACGUCUUGACGGUACCUAAUCAGAAAGCCACGGCUAACUACGUG
rnacentral:rRNA from 1 species